GGGGAUCAGUAGAAAAGGAAGAACACAGAAUGUCUCAGAACAUCCUUCCUGAACAAAGACAGAUGGAUAAAGGAGAGGACCAGUUUGGGGAGUGUGUGGCUGGAUUAUCCAGAGGCAUGUUGGUGGGGCAGUUAAAAGAAGUGGACCUGCCUGAAGUCAUGUAUCAAUUUGAGCACCCCUAAAAGAGACAUGACCAGACAUAAGCACCCUGAUUCCAUGCAAGAGGACCCCCUUGCCCUCCCAACUAACUAAACCUUAAUUUAAUAAUACUUUCAGAACUAAUUUCCAGUCUACAAGAAACGUGUGGGAUAAGGAAAUGAGUUAAAAAUGAAACAAGAAAGCAAUCAGCCAAAUCUAUAGAAUGGGGGAUGUUCUACAUGACAAACAAUCUGUUCAAGAAGAAUGGGAACAUGAAAGAGUUAAGAGACAUCAAAACAAAUUCAACUCAGCUUAUACUUCUCCUGCCCAAACUCUGGAGCCAGCUUGCUCUCCAAGGAACCCUUGACUGACUGACUUUUUAUCAAAGCCAAGGAAUACAUUAGUGAAGGCCAGUCCUAGCCUCCAGCUGAAGUCUUUGUGAUCAGUCCCAGUUUGACACUUGAUGCUGGCCAUCAGUUCUGAAUUUUGUCUUCUGAAGAAUCCUUUGCUUUUGGACCAUUCAGUCCAGGAUCUAAUACAGUUCCCAGGAUCCUUCCCAAGAUUUCAGUCAGGCUUCUUAGGCUCACAACAGGACCUCAUCUUCCAGACAGCCACCGCGGAUGCCAUCACUUUCAAAGCACGUAGCUGUUUCACAUGGUAAUGUGAGCAUGAUUAGCUUCACCUCUUAAUCCUCUUCCUCAGAGACAGCAGUUAGUUUCCAAGGUCAAAACUUGGCACUGGGAGAAGGCUGACCUUUAGUGUCUUUUCCCAUUGGUUUGACCUCUUAAUCCCUAAGCCAUCCUGACCAGAAGAGGGAGUAGUUCCAACAGGAACCUUGAGCUCAGGCAUUAGUCUUCCCAAACUCCUGCUGUUACCUGGUCUUUUCAAAUGGAUCCCUGCCCCAGUUUCCCAGUUAACACAGACUGCUUUACUAAAUUCUUACUGUUUAACAAGAUUAGGAGUAGUGACCUUUUCCUCUCACCUUUUGAAGUAAUAUGUGUAAAGCAAAAUGUUUAUGUUUAUGAAGUCACCCAUCUUUCUGUCAAGAAACAAAGGUUUUUAAAUAAUUAGAACCAGUAUAUUUGUAUUUAUAUUUACUUUCUGGUAUUCUGAUUCUCAACUCCAUGAAGGGUAUCUACCAGAAACCUGUAUCAAACUUCCAAGAUCAUGCACAAAAUGUAAACAUGCCCUGUAAUGUUGAGAACAACUCAAGGAGAGCUGCUAUGACUGCUAAAGUUUUGCAAAUUUCUGCUAAUGUAAGAAGACAAGAAAAAGAAAUAGGAUGACUGAAUAUUGAGAAGAAAAAGGCAAAACUAUUAUUUAUAGAUAAAUAUCAGAAAAUAUAAGGUGUAACACAUUAAGAAACUAUUCAAAAUAAUGAAAAAAUUUCAAUAAAA